ACAGUGGUGGUUCAGAGGUAGAAUUCUUGUCUUCCAUGUGGGAGACCAGGGUUCAAUUCCUAGCCAAUGCA
rnacentral:tRNA from 1 species